CGUCAACGCAAGGAGGCAGACAUGGGACGUACAUACUCUCUCAAUGUCUUGGUAGUCGGUGCAGCGUUUGUGUUUGUGGCAUCCAUGCUCUUCAUUUGAGCGCCACCAGUUCCACUACCAGUUCAAAUAUCGCAUCCACGACCGUUUGAUAAUCAGCACUUCCGGUGAAAACGCAUGCUCCUUUCGUAGGAGCAUGCGUU
rnacentral:sRNA from 1 species